rnacentral:lncRNA from 1 species
ACGCAUGAAAGAUGGUACUCUAACAAGAUAAGAAUUGGAAUGGUAGGUAUUGGGAUUCGAAACCAUUUUUGGUGAUGCUUUAUCUGCUCCGUGAGUUUAGUGAGAAGUGGGAGGAGGAGGUUUUGCACAUCAUUGCUCUUUUCAGUUGCUUCUAGAGCGUUUCGCGUAACAAGAGCUACCUGAUUAUGUUGCUGGAUAGCUUUUGUUGGAAGCAUAUAUCAUUAUUGGCCUUUGGUGGUAGCUUUGAAAACCCAAAUCGCAUUGGUCUAAUUCAUUCAUUUCUGGUGACAAGGUAGUGAAAUGUCACGGUUUGAGUAAACCUGUGCUUUAUGAUGCAUUCUUCUUUUACAGUACCAUAAUGCGCAUAUCUGUUCUUUUAUUGGCUCUUGAUUCUUGAUGUGUUUAAAUUUGAUUUCUAGGGCAUAUGACAUGCUAUAGCCUGUCAUCUGAUUGAAAAUGACCUAGCACAUACUAACCAGG